rnacentral:rRNA from 1 species
GACGAACGCUGGCGGCGUGCUUAACACAUGCAAGUCGAACGCGCCUGUCCUCUGGGUUUCUGGGGGGUGGGUGAGUGGCGAACGGGUGAGUAACACGUGAGUAACCUGCCCCCUUCUUCGGGAUAACGGUCUGAAAGGGCUGCUAAUACCGGGUAUUCACUGGUCUCCGCAUGGGGUCUGGUGGAAAGGUUUUUUUCUGGUGGGGGAUGGGCUCGCGGCCUAUCAGCUUGUUGGUGGGGUGAUGGCCCACCAAGGCUUUGACGGGUAGCCGGCCUGAGAGGGUGACCGGUCACAUUGGGACUGAGAUACGGCCCAGACUCCUACGGGAGGCAGCAGUGGGGAAUAUUGCACAAUGGGCGCAAGCCUGAUGCAGCGACGCCGCGUGAGGGAUGGAGGCCUUCGGGUUGUGAACCUCUUUCGCCCGUGGUCAAGCUGCGACGUGGGUCGUGGUGAGGGUAGUGGGUAAAGAAGCGCCGGCUAACUACGUG